GGAGGGCCGUAUUUAUUAGAUAACAGCCAAUAAGACUCGCGUCUAUUGUGGUGACUCAUAGUAACUGAUCGGAUCGCAUGGGCUUGUCCCGCGACAAACCAUUCAAGUUUCUGCCCCAUCAGCUUUCGAUGGUAGUGUAUUGGACUACCAUGGCUUUUACGGGUAACGGAGGAUUAGGGUUCGAUUCCGGAGAGGGAGCCUGAGAAACGGCUACCACAUCCAAGGAAGGCAGCAGGCGCGUAAAUUACCCAAUCCUGACUCAGGGAGGUAGUG
rnacentral:rRNA from 1 species